GGCCCUGUGGCGCAAUGGAUAACGCGUCAGCCUACGGAGCUGAAGAUUGCAGGUUCGAUCCCUGCCAGGGUCG
rfam:Globodera pallida, Lindley, WGS project CBXT01000000 data, contig: pathogens_Gpal_scaffold_211_contig_21